CUAGUAACUUGCGAGUGAAGCGGGAAAAGCUCAAAUUUAAAAUCUGGCGUGUNUCUGGUCGUCCGAGUUGUANUCUGGAGAANCGUCUUCNNCGCUGGACCGUGUACAAGUCCCUUGGAACAGGGCGUCAUAGAGGGNGAGAAUCCCGUCUUUGACACGGACUACCAGUGCUCUGUGAUGCCCUCUCAAANAGUCNAGUUGUUUGNNAAUGCNNCUCANAAUGGGUGGNNAAUUCCAUCUAAUGCUAAAUAUUGGCGAGAGACCGAUAGCGAACAAGUACCGUGAGGGAAAGAUGAAAAGCACUUUGGAAAGAGAGUUAAACAGUACGUGAAAUUGCUGAAAGGGAAACGUUUGAAGUCAUUCGCGUCUGCCGGGACUCAGCCUUGCUUCUGCUUGGUGCACUUUCCGGUUGACGGNCCAGCAUNGAUUUUGACAUCCGGAAAAAGGCAGGGGGAAUGUGGCACCUUCGGGUGUGUUAUAGCCCCCUGUUGUAUACGGCGGUUGGGAUCGAGGNCCGCANCACGCCUUUAUGGCCGGGGUUCGCCCACGUACGUGCNUAGGANGCUGGCAUAAUGGCUUUAAGCGACCCGUCUNGAAACACGGNCCAAGGAGUNUAACANNCCUGCGAGUGUUUGGGUGGAAAACCCGNGCGCGUAAUGAAAGUGAUAGUUGAGACCUUUGUCAUGGAGGGCAUCGACGCCCGGACUUGAUNUACGGAGACGGUUCCGCGGUAGAGCAUGUAUGUUGGGACCCGAAAGAUGUGAACUAUGCCUGAAUAGGGUGAAGCCAGAGGAAACUCCGGAGGCUCGUAGCGAUUCUGACGUGCAAAUCGAUCGUCAAAUUUGGGUAUAGGGCGAA
rnacentral:rRNA from 1 species